rnacentral:lncRNA from 1 species
CAUUUUCGUGUUGCAUGGAAUUAGGGUUUUGUCUUCAUGAAGAAGACGAUGAUGUGGCGCUGCAUGGACCCUUGGAUCAUUCAUUUUUGUUUUAAUCUGGGUUGUCCAAGUUUUUUUGUCUUGUAGUCACUUAUGUGACCUUGACCUAUUGAUACCAUGUUCACAUGUUUUUUAAAAUAAAAUGUUAUUUAGUGGUGUCACAUGCUGAAUUAUUUGUUUUGAAUC